AUUUUGUGAUUGAGAAAAGAAAAAGGCGCCAGAUUUUAGUUUCUAAGGACUAUAUUUAAACUAGUAUUUAAACAAAUAGAGACGUUGAUUUAAAAAAAGAAAAAGAAAAAGAACAAGUAGAGGCGUUAUUUUCCUCCACCAUCAGUUUUUCCUUUCCCCAAUUAAUUAAAAUAAAAAAUGCAAAUGAAAUCACCGCCACAAUUCCUCUCCCAAAUCCUCAAAUACCAAAUCCUUUUUAUUUUAUGAAAUUUAAGGGAAACAAUAAAAAAAUAAAGAAAAAUAGAAAGGGAAGAAUCAGUGGCCAGUGGAGUGUGUUGGAACGAUGCUCCUUCAAUCUCUUACCCCAACAUUCUCCAUCCCUAAUUUUCACAUGCAUCAUCUCCGCCGAAACGAUGUCGCUUUAAAUGUAUCACGAGUGGAUGGCAGAAUCAGUUUGCCGUAUGGGAGAUUUGCAAUUACAGCUUCAAAUGUUCAGAGUUCAAGCUUCAAUGUGGAGAAGAAAAGAAAAGUGGUGGAACACAUCUGUCUGCUGAAAGCAAAGCAAGAUUUGUCUAAAGAGGAUGAGAAUGACAUGCUAGAUUAUUUGUACACUUCCCAAUAUCAAAUGCGGGGAAUUCUUGCAGUAUCUUUGGGGCGCAUCUCCAGUGACACGGUAGAAAAUUAUACGCAUGCUGUUUUCAUGCGUUUCCAAAGAAAGGAAGAUGUUACAAAGUUUUAUGAGAACCCUUUCUAUUUGAAAGUUCUCAAGGAGCAUGUAAUGCCAUACUGCCAUGAGCUAAUUAAUGUGGAUUAUGAAUCUGAAGUAGAAGAUGAUAUUCUUCCUAUAUUUCGAAAAGGGGAGGAGUUCAACUAUGGUUUGGAGUUUGUGCAUCUUAUAUCAUUUGAUGAGAGUGCACUUGGUGAACCUAUAGAUGAUGCAUUGGCAUCUCAUGAAACGUUGACAAAAGAAUUUCCCUCCUUGAUUGUCCAAUCUACUCAAGGCUCCAAUUUUAAUCUCAGCAGUCAGGAAUAUACUCAUGGAGUAGUGACAAGAUUUCGGUCAUUGGAGGCAUUUGAAAUGUUUAUGGGCAGCAGAGAAUACAAAGAUUCUGAACUAUUGAAAAAGCAGAUGUGGAAGACAAAAUUUAAGCUCAUCAUCAAGAAAACACUUCCCAUACAUUUCUCUGUUGAUCCCGUGGGCGAGGAGAUUAUGUAGUGAUGGUUCAUUUGUUUUAUGGUUCUGUUCCUGCUCAUAGAAGCUGAGGCAUAAAUGAAAAGAUACAACCAUGGUGUUUUUAUGGAAUUUUAGCAGCAAUUUAGAAUCACAGUCCUGCUCGGUUUUUGAUUUCAGGAACAAGCACACAGGAUUUGGUAUUUGAUCUGUCUCCUACAAAAAUCCUUAUGAGAAGCAACAUAUUUGGGGCAUUUCAAACGGAAAAGUGGUUCUAGCAGUCAGACUCAUUGACAGAGAAAAAAUGCUACAAGUGUCACUAUAGAUACUGCUGAAGAGUGAAGGCUUAUCAGUAACGAAGUGGUGUUGGUUCUGAAUUUUGAUGAGAAGCUCCAGAAAUAGUGUCAGUUUCAUGUUCACUGAAUCCCUGAAGAUUUCUGCAAGAGAAAUGCCUAAAAAAGUGGGAAUCCAAAAUCAAUGCUGCUGUUCUUCCCAGAUUCCUCAUUUGUCAUUCUGUCGACAUGGAAGCAACCUGAAAGCACAAAUAUGGUCACUACUAAGAGAAAUAUGAUCUUGGGAUUUUGAAUAGCCAUAUGAAGUAAAGAUGAGAUACUGUGUGAAUGGCAUCAGUAUCCUUUAUGUUUCUCUUUCUAGUUCUUGCAUUCUACAAAUUUAGGGUGCUAAGUUGGCACAAAAGUUCUAGGAAAUUAUAAAGUUGAACUCAUAUUUUGUAAAUAUGAAGUUGAGCUGGUAUAAUUGAAAGGUAAUUCGCAGUUUAUGUUAUUAAAAUUAUCUAAUAGACUGAAAAGGUAAAAUUAAAACAAAA